UACGUAGGGUGCGAGCGUUGUCCGGAAUUAUUGGGCGUAAAGAGCUCGUAGGCGGUCUGUCGCGUCGAUCGUGAAAACUUGGGGCUUAACCCUGAGCUUGCGGUCGAUACGGGCAUGACUGGAGUUCGGCAGGGGAGACUGGAAUUCCUGGUGUAGCGGUGAAAUGCGCAGAUAUCAGGAGGAACACCGGUGGCGAAGGCGGUUCUCUGGGCAUGACCUGACGCUGAGGAGCGAAAGUGUGGGGAGCGAACAGG
rnacentral:rRNA from 1 species